GGCUGGUCCGAGUGCAAGUGGUGUUUACAACAAAUUGAUCACAAUGAGUUACAGAUUCCUUUGUUCCCUCUUCACUCCCACUACUUCACUUGACUAGUCUUUG
rnacentral:Y_RNA from 1 species